UGGCGGACGGGUGAGUAACGCGUGGGUAACCUGCCUUGUACUGGGGGAUAGCAGCUGGAAACGGCUGCUAAUACCGCAUAAGCGCACAGUACCGCAUGGUACCGUGUGAAAAACUCCGGUGGUAUGAGAUGGACCCGCGUCUGAUUAGGUAGUUGGUGGGGUAACGGCCUACCAAGCCGACGAUCAGUAGCCGACCUGAGAGGGUGACCGGCCACAUUGGGACUGAGACACGGCCCAAACUCCUACGGGAGGCAGCAUG
rnacentral:rRNA from 1 species